GACGAACGCUGGCGGCGUGCCUAAUACAUGCAAGUCGAGCGAGACUCUUCGGAGUCUAGCGGCGGACGGGUGAGUAACACGUGGGCAACCUGCCUGUAAGACUGGGAUAACACCGGGAAACCGGUGCUAAUACCGGAUAAUCCUUUUUCUCUCAUGAGGAAAAGCUGAAAGUCGGUUUCGGCUGACACUUACAGAUGGGCCCGCGGCGCAUUAGCUAGUUGGUGAGGUAACGGCUCACCAAGGCGACGAUGCGUAGCCGACCUGAGAGGGUGAUCGGCCACACUGGGACUGAGACACGGCCCAGACUCCUACGGGAGGCAGCAGUAGGGAAUCUUCCACAAUGGCCGAAAGUCUGAUGGAGCAACGCCGCGUGAGCGAUGAAGGCCUUCGGGUCGUAAAGCUCUGUUGUUAGGGAAGAACAAGUACCGGAGUAACUGCCGGUACCUUGACGGUACCUAACCAGAAAGCCACGGCUAACUACGUGCCAGCAGCCGCCGUAA
rnacentral:rRNA from 1 species